rnacentral:rRNA from 1 species
GAUGAACGCUAGCGGGAGGCUUAACACAUGCAAGUUGAGGGGCAGCACGAUGUAGCAAUAUAUUGGUGGCGACCGGCGCACGGGUGAGUAACGCGUAUGCAACCUGCCCUGUACAGGGGGAUAACCCGGAGAAAUUCGGACUAAUACCCCAUAAAGAUAUCUGGAGGCAUCUUAAGAUAUUUAAAGUUAAGGCGGUACGAGAUGGGCAUGCGUAACAUUAGCUAGUUGGCAGGGUAACGGCCUACCAAGGCAACGAUGUUUAGGGGUCCUGAGAGGGUGAUCCCCCACACUGGUACUGAGACACGGACCAGACUCCUACGGGUGGCUG